rnacentral:sRNA from 1 species
ACAUCACAUCUCUGGUAGGUGCUGGAACCCUCAUGGUACUGCUGCUUUUAAUUUUGCUUUUGGAAUGUUUCUUUGUAGCUGAAGCUUUAGUGAUGAGAAGAUGGAAAUACCCUCAUUGACCUUUAGUGUUUUCUCCUGUGAUAUAUAUCAAGUCGCUUAGUUUGACAUUGUUGAACUUAUUUCCUAAGCAAAAAACAGCAGAAGAAGAAAAUCCAGAGCAUGUAGAAAUUCAGAAGAUGAUGGAUUCCCUCUUCUUAAAAUUGGAUGCCCUCUCAAACUUCCACUUUAUCCCUAAACCGCCUGUACCAGAGAUUAAAGUUGUGUCAAAUCUGCCAGCCAUAACCAUGGAGGAAGUAGCCCCAGUGAGUGUUAGUGAUGCAGCCCUCCUGGCCCCAGAGGAGAUCAAGGAGAAAAAUAAAGCUGGAGAUAUAAAAACAGCUGCUGAAAAAACAGCUACAGACAAGAAACGAGA